AGUGAACGCUGGCGGCAGGCCUAACACAUGCAAGUCGAGCGGCAGCGGGUCCUUCGGGAUGCCGGCGAGCGGCGGACGGGUGAGGAAUACAUCGGAAUCUGCCCUGUCGUGGGGGAUAACCUAGGGAAACUUAGGCUAAUACCGCAUACGACCUACGGGUGAAAGCGGGGGAUCGCAAGACCUCGCGCGACAGGAUGAGCCGAUGUCCGAUUAGCUAGUUGGCGGGGUAAAGGCCCACCAAGGCGACGAUCGGUAGCUGGUCUGAGAGGAUGAUCAGCUACACUGGGACUGAGACACGGCCCAGACUCCUACGGGAGGCAGCAGUGGGGAAUAUUGGACAAUGGGCGCAAGCCUGAUCCAGCCAUGCCGCGUGGGUGAAGAAGGCCUUCGGGUUGUAAAGCCCUUUUGUCCGGGAAGAAAUCGUCUGGGCUAAUACCCCGGGCGGAUGACGGUACCGGAAGAAUAAGCACCGGCUAACUUCGUG
rnacentral:rRNA from 1 species